UCCAGUCCCCUGUGUGCCUCGCGCGUGCGUGUGUGCUCGGGUCGCCCCUGCGCCGCAGUGGAGGCGUUCACCUUUCGGACGCCACUCCGGGAACACACCAGCACUUUGCUAUGGGCGGAAACAACUUGGGGUCCGUCUGGAGCGUUUCAUUAAGAAAGAAAAUUAAAGAAAAGAAAAAAAAAAAAAAACAAAAACAGAAACCGCUUUUAAGUAAACUCCAAACCACCCGGUGCGCCUCCCGCUGCACGGGCGCUCUCGCCCCGCGCCGGCGCCUCGCAGAUCCGUCUCCCCUAAGCCUCGAACCGCUCGCAGGAGGCAGACAUGGGUCCUAGCUCUUCACUUCUGUGUUCCUGGGGGUGCAUUUCCUGACAGCUGUGCUUCUACCAGGAAGGAAAGCAGAAGAGCAAAACCUUUGAGGACAAAUGCUGAAUGAAAGGCUGUUUUUUUCACAGUGGGCGUUCACUGUAAGCUUUCAUCCACUGGGACAGAAGAUUGAAGUUCUUGCUCAUGUCUUACCUCAGCUGGGAUUCAUGAUGUGGGCAAUAAUCAUUUUGUAUUAUCCUCGGAGUUUUAAAGUUCCUAGGGACCCUCCUAGGACCUCCUCUGAGCAAAGCAAGCCCCCAGGAACGGGAGUUACCGACGGUGGAAGUUACCAUGCAUGUGGUUUCCAGGAACUAAACCUGGGCCCUCUGCUGGAGCAACCAUACUGGUAACUGCCAAGGCAUUUCCUCAGCCCCAAGAAAAAUUCUUACUGUCUUCAUUUUGGUUAAAUGAAAGCUUCAGAUGAGAUUAUGUGAUCACCAG